AUUGAACGCUGGCGGCAUGCCUUACACAUGCAAGUCGAACGGCAGCACGGGAGCAAUCCUGGUGGCGAGUGGCGAACGGGUGAGUAAUAUAUCGGAACGUGCCCAGUCGUGGGGGAUAACGUAGCGAAAGCUACGCUAAUACCGCAUACGAUCUAUGGAUGAAAGCGGGGGAUCGCAAGACCUCGCGCGAUUGGAGCGGCCGAUAUCAGAUUAGGUAGUUGGUGAGGUAAAGGGCUCACCAAGCCGACGAUCUGUAGCUGGUCUGAGAGGACGACCAGCCACACUGGGACUGAGACACGGCCCAGACUCCUACGGAGGCAGCAGUGGGGAAUUUUU
rnacentral:rRNA from 1 species